AUUGAACGCUGGCGGCAGGCUUAACACAUGCAAGUCGAGCGGGGUGAUGGUGCUUGCACUAUCACUUAGCGGCGGACGGGUGAGUAAUGCUUAGGAAUCUGCCUAUUAGUGGGGGACAACAUUUCGAAAGGGAUGCUAAUACCGCAUACGUCCUACGGGAGAAAGCAGGGGAUCACUUGUGACCUUGCGCUAAUAGAUGAGCCUAAGUCGGAUUAGCUAGUUGGUGGGGUAAAGGCCUACCAAGGCGACGAUCUGUAGCGGGUCUGAGAGGAUGAUCCGCCACACUGGGACUGAGACACGGCCCAGACUCCUACGGGAGGCAGCAGUGGGGAAUAUUGGACAAUGGGGGGAACCCUGAUCCAGCCAUGCCGCGUGUGUGAAGAAGGCCUUAUGGUUGUAAAGCACUUUAAGCGAGGAGGAGGCUCUUUUGGUUAAUACCCAAGAUGAGUGGACGUUACUCGCAGAAUAAGCACCGGCUAACUCUGUGCCAGCCGCCACGGUAAGAC
rnacentral:rRNA from 1 species